GUGGAUAUAGCUCAGUGGUAGAGCGCAUGCGCAAGGUCCUGGGUUCAAUCUCCCAGUACCUCCA
rnacentral:tRNA from 1 species